rnacentral:rRNA from 1 species
AUUGAACGCUGGCGGCAGGCCUAACACAUGCAAGUCGAACGGUAACAGAAAGCAGCUUGCUGCUUUGCUGACGAGUGGCGGACGGGUGAGUAAUGUCUGGGAAACUGCCUGAUGGAGGGGGAUAACUACUGGAAACGGUAGCUAAUACCGCAUAACGUCGCAAGACCAAAGAGGGGGACCUUCGGGCCUCUUGCAAUCGGAUGUGCCCAGAUGGGAUUAGCUAGUAGGUGGGGUAACGGCUCACCUAGGCGACGAUCCCUAGCUGGUCUGAGAGGAUGACCAGCCACACUGGAACUGAGACACGGUCCAGACUCCUACGGGAGGCAGCAGUGGGGAAUAUUGCACAAUGGGCGCAAGCCUGAUGCAGCCAUGCCGCGUGUAUGAAGAAGGCCUUCGGGUUGUAAAGUACUUUCAGCGGGGAGGAAGGGAGUAAAGUUAAUACCUUUACUCAUUGACGUUACCCGCAGAAGAAGCACCGGCUAACUCCGUGCCAGCCGCCGCGGUAA